UACGGGGGGGGCAAGCGUUUGUUCGGAAUUACUGGGCGUAAAGGGUUCGUAGGUGGCCAACUAAGUCAUACGUGAAAUCCCUCAGCUUAACUGGGGAACUGCGUCUGAUACUGGUUGGCUUGAGUGCAGGAGAGGAACGCGGAAUUCCAGGUGUAGCGGUGAAAUGCGUAGAUAUCGGGAGGAACACCUGCGGCGAAGGCGGGUUGCUGGGCUGACACUGACGCUGAUGCGCGAAAGCCAGGGGAGCGAACGGG
rnacentral:rRNA from 1 species